AACUCCUGACCUCAGGUGAUCCACCCGCCUCGGCCUCCCAAAGUGCUGGGACUACAGGCGUGAACCACCGUGCUGGACCAUAUAUAAACACUUUUAAGUUUAAUCUGAUUAGCAUUCUCUCUACCACUUUUCUAAGUCUAAGCAAUUAUCAAAACAAUAAGUCAAACCCAAAUUUAUAGUGUUUGCCAAUUUCUGUGGUGAACAGAAAUAUUCCCACCAGGGCUGAUUUAGAGCUACCAACAUGAUGUCACUGAACGUGGAUUUGGUGUGGGCUGUGACAUUUCACUAUAUAUAGACACAACAGGUGCAUACAGAUAAAUAACAUAGUAAAACAAUUAGGAAGGGAUGAGUUUUGAGCAUUGGCUACCCUUGUUUUUAAUUUAUUUCACUAUAAUUUUAAAUAAUUUGUUUUUAUAAAGAAUGGCUAUUAACAAUUUGCACACAUUUCUGAAAAUGUAACAACUGGCUCUCAGGAGUCAUCCCUGAGUGUAUCCUACAGGCAGACCAAGCCUUGCUUUGGGCACUGACAAAGCUGGAGUCCAGGAGAUUCUGCUUCAAUGGACUCACCCAGGACUGCACAAUCAGAAAUGCUAGAAAGAAGCCACAUCAAUGUUUGCACAACAUGUAACUUUUAUCAUUAAAAAAAGAAAGAUUUCUUUUGAAUUAUAUUUUAGGCUCCAUAAUCUCCCCAGGUUUAGGGAUUCUAAAAGCCACAUUCUGGCCACAUCCCAGGCCUGCUCAGUUCCUGGAGGGAACAGCUUAAGAAGGAGGUAGCCAGCACUGUGCUUUUUACAUAAGGAAGUAUGUAAUGUAGGAAACUGCAGUCUGAGGACCAAAGCAGCAGUUCCCUGCAGGUCAUCCAGGUGAGAGGUGUUUCCAAGUCUGAUGUGAGGGUGGCGGGCAGAGCCAAGGCAGCUCCAGAAACAGAACUGUAAGCCCCAGGGAGCGUGGGGAAACAGCCCUGGAGACAAGCCACCUAGAACCAAACAGCCCUGACUCUGAAGGCUUCCCAGGAUAUUGGCUCAGCCACAGGCCAAACCAAUCCCCAACCCGAGUCACAUCCAAGCCCCAGCUGGGUGCAGCUGUGCUUAGAUUAGGGAACAUCCAAGGCAAGUGCGUGCCUUUGCAGCUCCAGUCCUUCCUCAGCCCUGCAAUGGCCUCCUGCUCUUCCCAAUGCAUCCCCUCUGGGCAGCAGGCUCAGGCACGAUGCCGGGCGUCUGGCAGGACCAGGGCCGCCGAUGAUGCUGCUGGCCAGGACUGAAAAAUGCAGACUGCAGGCAACACAAGCAAGCAGGACAACCCUGCUCGGCUUCUGUGUGUGUGUAAAGUCUGAUGGAACUGCACAGGCUGGGGGCGUCUGGGGAAAUAUCUAUAAGUGGCAAUCGGCUGAGCAGCUGGGAGGAACUUCAGAGAAGAGACAGAAUAUUAAGAGCAAACCUAAAUGGACAGCAAGAUGCCAGCUUGGGCAGGACCCAACAAGUGUCUUCUCCUUUAAUUUAUACUUCUAACAGCACUUUCAAGUGAACCACUGCAAUUAAGCAGGCUUAAGCACUGCCUCAC